AAAUUGAAGAGUUUGAUCAUGGCUCAGAUUGAACGCUGGCGGCAGGCCUAACACAUGCAAGUCGAACGGUAACAGGAAGCAGCUUGCUGUUUCGCUGACGAGUGGCGGACGGGUGAGUAAUAUCUGGGAAACUGCCUGAUGGAGGGGGAUAACUACUGGAAACGGUAGCUAAUACCACAUAACGUCGCAAGACCAAAGAGGGGGACCUUCGGGCCUCUUGCCAUCGGAUGUGCCCAGAUGGGAUUAGCUAGUAGGUGGGGUAACGGCUCACCUAGGCGA
rnacentral:rRNA from 1 species